AGACAUACUCCAUGUCGAGUUCCGCAUAAUUAAUCAUCAUGGUUUUAUGUUUUCCUGAGACAUUAUCUGGUAGUCACCUAAUGUGCAGCACAAACUCUGGGUGUGGGUUUAUAUUAUUUAUUUACCAAGUGUUUCCUUCCUCCCGAUGUCAUGUUGUCCAGUUCACGCUUAUAGCCUUGCCUGAUGGCAACAACUCCCCGGGAGGUUUGUGGAGUUCCUGAUCGAAUCGCAUCCUGUGAUGCAUAUCUCGCCACACGUUCUGCUUUUCAUCUCAGUGCUCAAUCAGGAAGUAUCGCUGGCACACAUGCUCUGGGGGAAGAGAGGAGUGAGCCUGGCCAAUAACCACAAGAAAGCUUGCAGGUGCUCGACUUACCACACAGAGUUACUUGAGCGUGGUGUCCUCAAACAGCUCCAUCAUCAUUAGCCUCUCAGUUUCAGCAGGACCCUGCCUUCUUAUCCCCCAUGAUGCCUAGAGCCAGCCACGCCCCAAAACACAACCACUCAGAAAAUAGCAGCUGUGAUGACUCCCGGGCCAGUUCUGGUCUCUCCAUCCCCAGCUCAGCAGGGGCCUUCUCAGAGACGGCAGGGCCAGCUGGGCGUUUGGAUGUGGAGCUGCUGAAUCUUUCUGCACUGGGAAGCAACUUGGACGAGCUUCAAGGUGACUGUCCCGACGACUGGCUCUGUGUCUCUCUCUGUCUAUGAUUUUCUGUCUCCAUCUGUUUCUCCCUCUCUCUACCUCAUUUUUGCUCAGUCUCUCUCUGUCUCUCUCUCUCCCCAUCUCUCUCAUAGUUGUAUGUUUUAUCUGAUUCUCGGUUUAACUAUUCCACAGAACUGGGUUUU
rnacentral:lncRNA from 1 species